UCUUUACUGCGGCUCGGUUGGUAGAGAAUUGCGCUGAAAACGCAAAGGUUGUGGGUUCAAACCCCAGGGGAAGCA